rnacentral:rRNA from 1 species
AUCAACGCUGGCGGCGUGCCUAACACAUGCAAGUCGAGCGGCAGCGCGGGGGCAACCCUGGCGGCGAGCGGCGAACGGGUGAGUAAUACAUCGGAACGUGUCCUUGAGUGGGGGAUAGCUCGGCGAAAGCCGGAUUAAUACCGCAUAAGCUCUGAGGAGGAAAGCGGGGGACCUGGUAACGGGCCUCGCGCUGUUGGAGCGGCCGAUGUCGGAUUAGCUAGUUGGUGGGGUAAAGGCCCACCAAGGCGACGAUCCGUAGCUGGUCUGAGGGGAUGAUCAGCCACACUGGAACUGAGACACGGUCCAGACUCCUACGGGAGGCAGCAGUGGGGAAUUUUGGACAAUGGGGGCAACCCUGAUCCAG